rnacentral:lncRNA from 1 species
CUGGAUAUUCUAAAUUAAAAGAAUUUCAUGUAAACCAGCAUGAAUAACUUUAAAGGCUAUUCAUUUUCCCCCCCUGUUCUGUAAUAAUUUAAAAACACUAAAUAGAAACAGGAAAAGUAAACCAGCCUAAAAGCAAAGCUCUUUUAGAAUGAACCCAAAGUGCUUCUAAAAUUGCACAGAGAAGAGAUAUUCUUUCUAACCAGCAAGUUAUCCAUCCAGAAAAAAAACAAAACAAAAAAAAAAUUUGUCUCUCCAACCAACUUCUACCUGGACCAUUCCGGAAUUUUGAAUGGUCCAUUAUUUGUUAACAUUCUUUCAGGCUCCACCUACUUAAACUCUUCCCUUUCAGUCUCAAUUUGAAAAAUUGCUUUCUAGGUUAACUAAAUUACUAUGUUGUGCCCUUGAUCAGCAUUCUGCACAAACACUGAUUAUUUGCUUAGCAGAAAAACUGGAAAACAGGGCUUACUAUGAGAUGUCAGAACCAGUCCUGCAAUCCCGAGACACCUUCGCAGCCGCAUUUUACUUCUGUUUUUGCAACAGGAAUGGAAGGUGAAAAGUAGGAGAAAACAAAAAUAAAAGACCAUUCAUUCUAAAGGAAGCAAAAUAGGGCCACCUCCAGAAGCUGAAGAUGAAAGAGUAAUGGAAAAGCAGACCACUAUCCUCCUCUCAUUCUCUCUCUCCUAAGCCACAUGUUAUGCCAACAGAGGACAGAAAAGCUUUGAAUCCAGUAUAAAAUUGCAACACUAAAUUCGACUGAUAAGAAAGUUAUGGAAUCCACUCGAGACAAUUUUAAGUGUCUGUGACAGAGCAUACAUAUGGCCCAUUGAAGAACAAUGAGUAGAAUAAAUGCAAAACGUGUCAUGUUUAUACCCUAUUGAGACAGACAUCUCAAUAAACUGAUUAUAAAAUUAUAACAAGCUAACACUAAAAUCAUGUGCCUUUCAAAAAUUAUUUUCCUG